GAACGCGUGUAGCAAUACACGAGUGGCGCACGGGUGAGUAACACGUGGAUUAUCUGCCUUUUGGUUCGGAAUAACCCCGGGAAACUGGGGCUAAUACCGGAUGGUUCCUUCGGGAUAAAGAUUUAUCGCCAAAAGAUGAGUCCGCGUCCGAUUAGCUAGUUGGCGGGGUAAUGGCCCACCAAGGCAACGAUCGGUAGCUGGUCUGAGAGGACGAUCAGCCACACUGGGACUGAGACACGGCCCAGACUCCUACGGGAGGCAGCAGUGGGGAAUAUUGGACAAUGGGGGCAACCCUGAUCCAGCCAUGCCGCGUGAGUGAUGAAGGCCUUCGGGUUGUAAAGCUCUUUUGGCGGGGACGAUGAUGACGGUACCCGCAGAAUAAGCCCCGGCUAACUUCGUG
rnacentral:rRNA from 1 species